AACAGGAUUAGAUACCCUGGUAGUCCACGCCGUAAACGAUGUCGACUUGGAGGUUGUUCCCUUGAGGAGUGGCUUCCGGAGCUAACGCGUUAAGUCGACCGCCUGGGGAGUACGGCCGCAAGGUUAAAACUCAAAUGAAUUGACGGGGGCCCGCACAAGCGGUGGAGCAUGUGGUUUAAUUCGAUGCAACGCGAAGAACCUUACCUACUCUUGACAUCCAGAGAACUUAGCAGAGAUGCUUUGGUGCCUUCGGGAACUCUGAGACAGGUGCUGCAUGGCUGUCGUCAGCUCGUGUUGUGAAAUGUUGGGUUAAGUCCCGCAACGAGCGCAACCCUUAUCCUUUGUUGCCAGCGGUUCGGCCGGGAACUCAAAGGAGACUGCCAGUGAUAAACUGGAGGAAGGUGGGGAUGACGUCAAGUCAUCAUGGCCCUUACGAGUAGGGCUACACACGUGCUACAAUGGCGUAUACAAAGAGAAGCGACCUCGCGAGAGCAAGCGGACCUCAUAAAGUACGUCGUAGUCCGGAUUGGAGUCUGCAACUCGACUCCAUGAAGUCGGAAUCGCUAGUAAUCGUAGAUCAGAAUGCUACGGUGAAUACGUUCCCGGGCCUUGUACACACCGCCCGUCACACCAUGGGAGUGGGUUGCAAAGAAGUAGGUAGCUUAACCUUCGGGAGGGCGCUUACCACUUUGUGAUUCAUGACUGGGGUGAAGUCGUAACAAGGUAACC
rnacentral:rRNA from 1 species